GAGAGAUGGAUGUGAGAUGAGGGAGAGAUGGAGGUGAGAUGAGGGAGAGGUGGGGGAGAGAUGGAGGAGAGAUGGAGGAGAGAUGGGGGAGAGAUAGAUGAGAGAUGAGGUAGAGAUGUGGAGAGAUGAGGGAAAGAUGGAGGUGAGAUGAGGGAGAGAUGGGGAGAGAUGGGGGAUAGAUGAGGGAGAGAUGGAGGAGAGAUGGGGAGAGAUGAGGGAGAGAAGGAGGUGUGUUGAGGGAGAGAUGGAGGAGAGAUGAGGGAGAGAUGAGGGAGAGACGGAGGUGAGAUGAGGGAGAGAUGAGGGAGAGUUGGAGGAGAGAUGAGGGAGAGAUGGAGGAGAGAUGAGGAGAGAUGAGGGAGAGAUGAGGGAGAGGUGGAGGUGAGAUGGGGGAGAGAUAGAUGAGAGAUGAGGUAGAGAUGGGGAGAGAUGAGGGAAAGAUGGAGGUGAGAUGAGGGAGAGAUG
ensembl:lncRNA